UUUUUGUGUUACUGGUUAUUUUUGCAAGAAGAAAUGCAGCAAUCAUCUUCAUAGCAGAACAGCAACAAAGCUCUGCCAGGAUGGGUUCCCAUAGGUGCGCUCUGAGUGGCCGAUGGCAGAAAGCAACACUCUGCAAGUUUCAUCUUCUUGCUGCUCCGUAACAGUGGAGUCUAUCACAGUGGAUGUGUCUAUUUUAAAGAACUAUUCCUGCCACGCACUCACACCAACAGCCUUUUAUAAGGAAGAUUCUGAAUUCUCGUCUGUUUGCUUUUCUUUGUGCAAUGAGAGCAUGAGAGAGAUGUGAACAAGCAGAAUAUUGUGAGAUGGUCUUUAGGUGGUUUCUACCUAUGCCUUGAGUGCUGUUAGGCACAGAGUGAAGGCAAAGCAAUCCUGCAGACUUUAAAAAGCAGAACAAAAAUACUGCAGAUUUGAAGGGGCGGUGGAGAAGGUUGGGGAUGUUAUUGGAAACGCUUCUGGUAUAAUGAGGGUUUUUUGGUGAGUGACUUUUCUAUUGUCUGACGCCAACACAACAAUGCACUGGCUACUUUGGCUGAUAUUUGAAUCAUGAUUAGUACUCUAGCUUUUUCUUUUUUUGGCAGAAAGCUAAUCCCACUACUCUGCUGUCGAAGCUUUGGAGGACCAUUUUGAUUUUACAAAAAGAAAAUCUAGUUCAUUAACUUGGCACUACUGAAAUGCUUUAUAGAGGGAGAAAAUGCUUGUGGAUGUGCUUAGGCAGGUUAGACUUCACUCUUUAACCUACUGGAAGACACUGCUGUUUCUAGAGUGAAGUUUGUUCCCCUUUGGUUGUUAAGAAAAUACAGCAUGUCACUGCAUGUUUACAUGGUGUUGAUUAUUUGGGACCAGCAAAGUAUGUCAGGCAUUGGCUGUGGUCAGUUUUUCUAAGUAGCAUGUAGUGAUGCCAAGACACUUCUUGGGACAUAUGUCUAUUCUGGAGACUUUUUCCUGCAUUAAAUGAGAGGAUUUAAUCAUUCAUGCUGCACUCCUGCCAGCCAAGAUGGUCCAGUUGUGCUGCGUAUUAUAAUGCACCUGGGAGAAGACUUUUCUUUUGAGGUGGCUUGUUUUCCUUCUGAGAAUGAUUUUUGUGAUUGAAUAUUGCUAAUUUUUGUCCCAUGGUGUAUGAAUGUCUAAAAUCUGUCUUAUCAUACUCCUUCUCUAAGUAUCAUGCUUAUGUCA
rnacentral:lncRNA from 1 species